UUGGGAAUAUUGCGCAAUGGACGACAGUCUGACGCAGCGACGCCGCGUGGUCGAAGAAGCCCUUCGGGGUGUAAAGACCUUUUUUAGGGGACGAUUGUGACGGUACCCUAAGAAUAAGGGCCUGCUAACUACGUGCCAGCAGCAGCGGUAAUACGUAGGGCUCAAGCGUUGUCCGGAAUUAUUGGGCGUAAAGAGCAUGUAGGUGGAACUUCAAGUCGAAUUUAAAAGGUUCGGGCUCAACCCGAACUCUGGAUUUGAAACUAAAGUUCUCGGAGUUUAGCAGGGGCAAGCGGAAUUCCCGGUGUAGCAGUGAAAUGCGUUGAUAUCGGGAGGAACACCAAUGGCGAAGGCAGCUUGCUAGGCUAAUACUGACACUGAGAUGCGAAAGCGUGGGGAGCGAACGGG
rnacentral:rRNA from 1 species